GGAUGUGAGAGUGAUCCGGCUGCAAUGUGUGUCACUCCACUGACUGCAAGGACUGAUUCAGCUGAUCUGGCUGCCUAGGCAAGCGUCUCCUUUCUUCUUCAGCUUGCCAUGUGUGUCCCUCCCAAAGCUGUGCAUGCACUCCAAGAGCAAGACCUCCCUUUAUCACGGAGGAUGAUUCAUUGAUCGAGCGUAUAUACAUGGAGGUGUGUCCCCUGCUGAAAUCUGUGAACAUGCUCUCAGAGGCACAUUCAUGUGCUAUGUACGGGCUGAGGAGUGCUGAUGAUCAGAAGGCAUUGCAAGUCCAUGUUUUCUUGAAUUGAACUUUUAU
ensembl:misc_RNA Gm22160 predicted gene, 22160